GGAUUUGGAGCGGCAAGCCGUGUGGAUGAGUUUGCGGACCGGGUAGUUAUUUAAUGGAUUUAUUUCACCAUCUUGUCUGCGGUGUUAGUUGGUAACUAGUCAUGGGCAUCGGGCAGGCCGGUAGACUUCCGGAGGCGGCAGUCGGCCAGCGUCGCGACGGGACUCCCCGGCCACCGCUUUUGGUAGGAUGAGCUUCUUUCCUUCCCUUUUUUUUUUUAACAGGGAAGGCCCAGCACCCUGUCGUCGGUGAGACAGUUGAAGCGUGCCACUCGGGGCCGGCUGAGGCCAAGCACCCUCUGUCGCUUGGGUGCGCGCCAGGUCGUAAGUGGCGCAUCGGGCGACCCUCAGCGCCAAGCUUGGACUCUGGUUUUUUUUUUUUUGCCGGUUAAGUCUCCUCCCCCCCUUCAGCGGGCGACCGGAGCGCAUCCCUCCCUCCCACCCUCCGGUGUCCUGUCGACAGGCUCCUUUAAGCGGGGCAGCCUUUCACGCACCCCCGUCCCUCUUGCGCUUCUCUGGCUUGAGGAUGACGGUCUCUCAGCAAUUAGCGGAGCUCAGGCUGUCAGCUUUGUUGUUGGAACCCCUUGACCGUAAAAGCAGUUGUUAGAUUGGAAGCUAAGCAAGUUUGGCUUCUGGACAGUGGAUGAGAGCUUUGGGGUCUGUCGGAUAGGAGAAUUUGCACUUGAUUAGGUAAGUAAUUUGUUUCCAUGUGAGGUUUGACACCAUGCAAGAGACAACUUUUUGAUGUGCAAUGUUUUUAUUUUUGAUGUUUGUGGCUUCUAGUGGAAGGUAUUCUUGGAAAAGGGGAGAGUCAAAUAGCGGAGAAGAAUGUCGAGUGGAGUGUUUAACGUAAUCAUUAUUAUUAUGGUUUUUUUUCUUUGAUUGAAUGUCUUUGGGAGGAGGCGGUAAAGCAAGAAGGAUUUCACGUGACACAGCGGCCGCAGCCAGCGUCCCCCAAACAG